AAGGAUCAUUAACGAAAUGCUCGAGGAUGACUUGCUGGCCCUUAGGGGCAUGUGCACUCCUUGAACCAUUCUGACCUUUUUACCACACCUGUGCACCCUUUGUAGGCCGUAAAGGCCUACGUUUUUACAUUUAAAAACCUUGAUGUUAUUUGAAUGUGCUUGUUUGUAAUAAAAACACAACUUUCAACAAUGGAUCUCUUGGCUCUCGCAUCGAUGAAGAACGCAGCGAAAUGCGAUACGUAAUGUGAAUUGCAGAAUUCCGUGAAUCAUUGAAUCUUUGAACGCACCUUGCGCCCUUUGGUAUUCCGAAGGGCAUGCCUGUUUGAGUGUCAUUUAAAUCAUCAACUUGACUUGUUUUACACAGGUCAAAGCUGGAAAGUGGAGAGUGCUGGCCUCUUUUCAAGAGGUUAGCUCCUCUGAAAUGAAUCAGCAAAAGCUUUGAUCCUUUUUGCUCUGACGUUGAUAAGUCUUGUCUGCGUCUUGAGAGGGACAUUGGCGUUUGCUUUAAAUUGUGUAACCUUGACAAAUCACCCUCAAAUCAGGUAGGACACCCGCUGAACUUAA
rnacentral:rRNA from 1 species